GCUCCUACGGGACGCAGCAGUGGGGAAUAUUGCACAAUGGGGGAAACCCUGAUGCAGCGACGCCGCGUGAGUGAAGAAGUAUUUCGGUAUGUAAAGCUCUCUCAGCAGGGAAGAAGUUGACGGUACCUGAGUAAGAAGCCCCGGCUAACUACGUGCCAGCAGCCGCGGUAAUACGUAGGGGGCAAGCGUUAUCCGGAUUUACUGGGUGUAAAGGGAGCGUAGACGGCAGCG
rnacentral:rRNA from 1 species